rnacentral:rRNA from 1 species
AGUGAACGCUGGCGGUAGGCCUAACACAUGCAAGUCGAACGGCAGCACAGUAAGAGCUUGCUCUUACGGGUGGCGAGUGGCGGACGGGUGAGGAAUACAUCGGAAUCUACUUUUUCGUGGGGGAUAACGUAGGGAAACUUACGCUAAUACCACAUACGACCUACGGGUGAAAGCAGGGGAUCUUCGGACCUUGCGCGAUUGAAUGAGCCGAUGUCGGAUUAGCUAGUUGGCGGGGUAAAGGCCCACCAAGGCGACGAUCCGUAGCUGGUCUGAGAGGAUGAUCAGCCACACUGGAACUGAGACACGGUCCAGACUCCUACGGGAGGCAGCAGUGGGGAAUAUUGGACAAUGGGCGCAAGCCUGAUCCAGCCAUACCGCAUGGGUGAAGAAGGCCUUCGGGUUGUAAAGCCCUUUUGUUGGGAAAGAAAAGCAGCAGGUUAAUACCCCGCUGUUCUGACGGUACCCAAAGAAUAAGCACCGGCUAACUUCGUG